CCCCGUUCAGGGCACUCGACACUCACCCAUAUCAUCCUCAUGAUGACGCUGAGGUAUUCAUCAUCAUUAGGCUCCGCCUACAGACGAGGAAAUGGAGGAAAGCUCUUUGGGGGCAGAUAUUACAAUAUGUUCAUUGCCAGAUGCCAUCGAAACAUGGGGUUUUAAACACAAGAGCUGCUCGGUAAUUGCCUGCCAAGUGGACCAUGAAUGUAUGUAUGCAUGAAAGAAUGAACGAACAAGAGAUUUCUGUCAGUAAACUACUGUCAAGUAUUACAAAGGAAAUGAGGAAGUCGGCAUUGUGAAAUCUGUUUUCUUGAAAAGUGAGAUAGCUACCUGCCUCCUGUUUUCCUCUCCAAUUCUUCAGGAUUCACCAACAUUCCCAAGAGGGUCUCUGUGACCACACGUCCAACUUUACUCAGCACCAGAAAGGACACGCAUCGGGGCUAGAAAACUCGAGUGCGUUGAACACUCAAAUACUAACAUCAUGGUUGACUGGAAACAAGACAGACCAGUUCAGUUGAGUAGAUUUUGCAAAGUCUCCAAACUUAAAAUCACACACUCCUAUUAAUAAAAAUAUUUUUUAGCACAUGCAUUCAAUAUAUGGGCAUUUAUGUACCUGCAAAUCAUAUACAUGUACUACGAUGCCAAAACAUUAUGUAUAUUAUAAAACACACAACAAAACAGAAAUUUUAAAAGGAUGAACUAUCACUCAGCUGGUGUGAAUUGAGUGUCAGCCUAUGAACCAGGAGGUCACAGUUAGAUUCCUGGUCAGGGCACAUGCCCAGAUUGCCGGUUCCAUCCUUACUAGGGGGUAUGCAGGAG